UCCUAAUUACAUCAAGGUAAAAAGACUUUCUCCAAUGCAUAUAUUAGUAAACCCAGUAAAAGAAAAUGGCAAAGAAAAAAUAUUAAGGGCAGCAAGGCAGAAUAAAAUAACCCACAAAAGAACCCCUAUCAGGCUUUCAGCAGAUUUCUCAGCAGAAACCUUACAGCCUAGGAGAGAAUAGAAUGAUAUAUUCAAAAUACUGAAAGACAAAAACUUUCAGCCAAGAAGAGUCUAUCCAGUGAAACUAUGCUUCAAAUACAAUGGAGAAAUAAAAACUUCACCAGAUAAACAAAAGUUGAGGGAGUUCAUCACCACAAGAUCCCCCCAACACAGAAAUACCAAGAAGGCCCUCAUAUCUGAAAAAAAAAGGAAGGGUUUACAAAGCCUUGGGCAAGGAGAUAAACAGACAGACAAAAUCAGAAAAUUGCAGGUCUCUAUCAGAACAGGUUAGCAAACACUUAAUUAUAACAUUAAAGAUAAAGGGAAGGAAAGCAUCAAAAAUAACUAUAAUCACUUCAUUUUAACCACAAACACAAAACACAAAAUGGAAUAAGUUGUGACAACAAUAAAUUAGAUGGGGAAGAGAAAAGGGAUGGAACCUACUUAGACUAAGGAGAUAAGAGGCUAUCAGAAAAUGGACUAUCUCAUCUAUGAGAUCUUUUACACAAACCUUACAGUAACCACUAAACAAAAAAUCAGAACAGAGACACAAAUGAUAAACAAAGAUAAAACUUAGAAAACCAUCAUAGAGAAUCACCAAACUGAAUUGGGAGUGGGAAAUACACAGGACAAGAAAGAAGGGAAAUACAGAACAAUGGAAAAUAAGUGAUAAAAUGGCAGUACUAAGCCCUCAUAUAUCAAUAAUCACUUUGUGUAAACAGAUUGAAUUCUCCAAUCAAAAGACACAGAGUGCUAGGAUGGAUUGAAAAACAAGACCCAACAAUACUAUGCUGCCUCCAGGAAAUGCAUCUCAGCUCUAAAGACAAACAGAGUUUCAAAGUGAAGUGAUGGAAGAAGUUACUCCAAAAAAAUGACAAACAAAAGAAAGUAGUAUAUAAUGAUAAAAUGGACACUCCAUCAACAGGACAUAACACUUAUGAAUAUAUAUGCACCAAACACGGGAGCACCAAAGUACGUAAAGCAACUAUUAACAGACAUAACAGGAGAAAUUAACAGCAACAUAAUAA
rnacentral:lncRNA from 1 species